rnacentral:rRNA from 1 species
ACAAGAGCCAACGGGGAUGCCUUGGCAUCGACUACCGAGAAGGACGUGAGUGGCUGCGAUAAGCCUCGGGAGCUGCCGACUAAGCUUGAUCCGUGGAUGUCCGAAUGGGGAAACCCACUAUCCUGGGAGUGUACUCCGUCUGAACACAUAGGAGGGGGUUGAGGGAACCAGGUGAACUGAAACAUCUAAGUAACCUGUAGGAAAGGAAAGCAAAUGCGACUCCCUAAGUAGCGGCGAGCGAAAGGGAAUAGCCUAAACCUGGAUUGGUGUAAUAGCCUGGCGGCGUUGCCAAUCGGGGUCGUGGGACCAGAUGGAUCAAGCGUCAGAUUGAUCACAGGGGUUACAAAUCUGCUCGUUAGUCGGAAGCUUCGGAAAGGCGCCGAGUGGGUAAUAGCCCCGUAACGAAACGUUCAGACUCUGAUCUGUGUUCCCGAGUAUCACCAUUGCCGUGUAAUUUGGUGUGAAUCUGCGAGGCCCACCUCGUAAGGCUAAGUAUAAGUCGAUGAUGACCGAUAGCGAACUAGUACCGUGAGGGAAAGGUGAAAAGUACCCCUAGAGGGGAGUGAAAUAGAACCUGAAACCGUAUGCCUACAAGCGGUCGGAGCUCCAUUUAGGUGGGGUGACGGCGUGCCUUUUGCAUAAUGAGCCAGCGAGUUGCUCGUACGUUGCAAGGUUAAGAAUAGUACAUUCGGAGCCGAAGCGAAAGCGAGUCUGAACAGGGCGUUCAGUAGCGUGCGGCAGACCCGAAACCGGGUGAUCUAGCCAUGACCAGGUUGAAAGUGCGGUAACACGCACCGGAGGACCGAACCCACUUCGGUUGAAAACGGAGGGGAUGAGUUGUGGUUAGGGGUGAAAGGCCAAUCAAACUCAGAGAUAUCUGGUUCUCGCCGAAAUGCCUUUAGGGGCAGCGUUAUAUUAGUGUACCGGGGGUAGAGCACUGAAUGGGCUAGGGGGCCUACAAGCUUACCAACCCCAAUCAAACUCCGAAUACCGGAUACAUGUUGUAUAGCAGUGAGGCUGCGGGCGAUAAGGUUCGUAGCCAAGAGGGAAACAACCCAGAUCAACAGCUAAGGUCCCAAAGUCAAUGCUAAGUGAAAAAGGAUGUCAAAUCGCCCAGACAGCUAGGAGGUUGGCUUAGAAGCAGCCAUCCUUUAAAGAAAGCGUAACAGCUCACUGGUCGAGUGAUCUUGCGCGACAAUGUAACGGGGCUCAAGUCCAGAGCCGAAGUCGCGGGUUUUCACAAUAGUGAAAGCGGUAGCGGGCGUCGAUCUUGCUGUGAAGCGCCGGUGUAAACCGUCGUGGAGCGUGGUCGAGUGAGAAUGCAGGUAUGAGUAGCGAGAGAGGGGUGAGAAACCCUCCGCCGAAAAAUCCAAGGGUUCCUGGGGAAGGCUAAUCCUCCCAGGGUGAGUCGGGAGCUAAGACGAGGCCGAGAGGCGUAGUCGACACAACCGGUUGAUAUUCCGGUACCACUGUGAGCACGACCAGGCUCAACCAUUGUUGCUAAGGGAUGCUAGGAGCCCGUAAAAGGCACCUAGAGGAACCGACCCACAAUGGAGCGGCCAGCAAUGCGGGGACGCAGGAAGGUAGGUGAACCCACCCGAUGGUAGAGGUGGGGUAAGUAUGUAGGGCGGGUCCCAGGAAAAUCCGGUACCCACUAAGCCUGAGAUACGACGCCGACUCGAUUAAGAGGAAGUCAUUGAUCCUAUGCUGCCAAGAAAGCCGCUAGCGAGUUCUCACGGUGCCCGUACCCCAAACCAACACAGGUGGAUAGGUAGAGAAUACCAAGGCGAUUGGGAGAACUGUGGUUAAGGAACUCGGCAAAUUGCAUCCGUAACUUCGGGAGAAGGAUGACCUCAUUAAGUGAUGGAACUUGCUUCCUGAGCUUGAAGAGGUGUCACAAACCAGAGGGAAGCGACUGUUUACUAAAAACACAGCAGCGUGCUAAGCCGUAAGGCGCUGUAUACGCUGUGACGCCUGCCCGGUGCCGGAAGGUUAAAUGGCGAGGUUAGUUCUUCGGAACGAAGCUUUAAAAUGAAGCCCCGGUAAACGGCGGCCGUAACUAUAACGGUCCUAAGGUAGCGAAAUUCCUUGUCGGGUAAGUUCCGACCUGCACGAAUGGCGUAACGACUUCCCUACUGUCUCAACCACAGACUCAGCGAAAUUGAAGUACGAGUAAAGAUGCUCGUUAGCUACAGAAGGACGGAAAGACCCCGUGGACCUUUACUACAACUUGGUAUUGAUGUUUGACCUUCACUGUGCAGGAUAGGUGGGAGACUUUGAAGCGCAUGCGCCAGUGUGCGUGGAGUCAUCCUUGAAAUACCACCCUUGUAUUGCUAGAAUUCUAAUCUUAUUCCGUGAAUCCGGAAGAGAGACAGUGCUAGGUGGGUAGUUUGACUGGGGCGGUCUCCUCCUAAAAAGUAACGGAGGAACCCAAAGGUCUCCUCAGCACGGUCGGUAAUCGUGCGUAGAGCGCAAAGGCAUAAGAAGGCUUAACUGCGAGGUCGACGGACCGAGCAGGUGCGAAAGCAGGACUUAGUGAUCUGGUGGUUCCGUAUGGAAGGGCCAUCACUCAAUGGAUAAAAGGUACUCCGGGGAUAACAGGCUUAUCUCCCCCAAGAGUUCACAUCGACGGGGAGGUUUGGCACCUCGAUGUCGGCUCAUCACAUCCUGGGGCUGGAGAAGGUCCCAAGGGUUGGGCUGUUCGCCCAUUAAAGUGGUACGUGAGCUGGGUUCAGAACGUCGUGAGACAGUUCGGUCCCUAUCCUCUGUAAGCGAAAGAAAUUUGAAGGGAGCUGUCCCUAGUACGAGAGGACCGGGAUGGACGUAGCUCUCGUGUGCCAGUUGUUCCGCCAGGAGCAUGGCUGGUUAGCGACCUACGGAAUGGAUAACCGCUGAAAGCAUCUAAGUGGGAAGCCAGCUCCAAGAUUAGAUUACCCACCGGGUUAACCGGGUAAGGCCCGUGGCAGACCACCACGUUGAUAGGCCGGAAGUGUAAGCACAGCAAUGUGUUCAGCUGACCGGUACUAAUCGGCCGAGGGCUUGAUU